GAUGUGUACAGGAGUUUAUGUGUCUAGAUGAGCAAAUUAUACCUUGUUUAGUUGGGCAUUUAUAUCUUAUCAAUUGGAUCAGAGGUUAUUGUGUUGUGUGUUCUUUCAUGUGGUGAUUUAAUUGAGUUCAAGAGAUUGUGUGGUGACUGUACACACUGGGCUACCAUGGAAUAGGGAUGUGUAUGUCUGGCAUCGUGUCAACCUGUCUUGGGAACUAGAUGGCUGGAGAGAUUGUUGCUAGAGAGUACCCAUUGUCUGUGUGAUAUGGGAUGGAAUAUAGUGUGUGAGAAGCUUUGUUGACUGAAAUGAAAAUAUCCAAUGGAUGCCUUGUGGCCCUAUGGUGCUGGCACUAAUGUGGUAUAAAAGAAACCUUCUUAAAAAUUUUUUUACUGCAACAGUGGGGGACAUAAUACAAAAGAGAUUGAGGAGGGGUAGGGAAGGAAUAGAGAAAAUAUAGAGGAAAGGGGCAAAGAGAUUACCACCCACUUAGGAAAUGGAAUAGAGUAGGUAACGUAGACUGUCAAGGUGGAAGAAAGGAAAACCAGCCAUGCCAAGGGCUGGGACAUGUCUCCCAGCCAAAAUUGGGGACUGGGCCCAAGAGCCCUGUCAUGUUGUCAGUAACCACAAGGGCAGUUCUUAUGCAACAUGGGAAAAGAAGUCAGAUCAAUAAGGAAGUUUCUGGCCACAAGGAGGUGGAGAUGGAGAGGUCCUGCCCUACUCAGUCUUCCCCUUGAGAAUGUCUGAGCGUGUCUAUCACUUUACCCUGAUUCUCUCUGGAUUGCUGAGUGCCCCAGUGUCCCUAGCAGGGCAUCAAUGCCUUCCUGACAGCCCUGCUGGUCUCACUUCCUGGACAGAAUCUGGCCAUGGCUCAGACUCUCCUUCUUUUGCUGUCGGCAACAUGUCUGCACACUGGGAACUCAGCAGGAUUCACAAGAGAAAAUGACCUUGGUUUCAACCAACCAGCUGUCCUCUCAGGAGUCCAGGGCGGCUCCAUCGAGGUCCCCUUCUCCUUCUACUUCCCCUGGGAGUUGGCCAAGGAUCCUCAGAUGAGCAUAGCCUGGAGAUGGAAAAACUACCAUGGGGAAGUCAUCUACAACUCCACCCAGCCUUUCCUUCACGAGCAUUUUAAGGGCCGGCUCAUCAUGAACUGGACACAGGGUCAGACAUCUGGUGUCCUCAGAAUCCUGAACUUGAAGGAGAAUGACCAGGCCACAUACUUCGGCCGAGUUUUUCUGCAAACCACAGAAGGCAUGAAGUUGUGGCAGUCAAUCCCUGGCACCAAACUCAUCAUUCAUGCUCUCAUUACUACCCCGGGGAGCCCCUUCAUCAUCCCCUCUGCAGUCCUCACAGCUGGCCUGGAGGACACAAGGGGCCAGAGGAAUCCUUCACUGCUGAACUUGGGAGCCAUGGUUGGGAUGGUCAUGGCCAAAGUUGUGGUCAUCAUCCCCCUCUAUGGAUGGGUGAUCUUCCUGUGGUGGAAACAAAGGCCAGCAGAAUAAAGACUAUACCCUAGUAAGGUGAGUGCCUGUCAUCUCAAGGGACGGAUGAGGAGCUGCUUGGAAGUUCAUUAUGAGAGGCAUGAAUGCAAUCCAGAGUGAUGAUUCAGUCAGAAACGCAUGGCACAGGGGUACGAGGACCUGAGUUUGAUGGAUUAGGGGCUCCCACCUAGGGAUGUGAUGUCGCAGGAACUUGCAAUCCCAGCCCUAGUCCAGCAAGAGACAAGCAGAGACAGAUUGGCUGAACACCUAGUCUAGAACAACUGGCUCCCCAGUGCUAGGAUCUCCCAUCAGGGAGGUGAGUUUAUAUCAAAGUUGGUGACCAGACACCCUGCAUCCCACAACCUUCCAUGGCUUCUCGCUGGGAGUCAGUCAUCAUGGCUGCAGGAUUCUCCUGUGAAAAUCACCAUUCUUGGAUAACUCCCACUUCUGCCAUGUGGGCUCUGACACCCUUGUUUGGAACCAACGUCCUCCUGUGUGUCUCUGGGCCUGAAAGCCUGACUGUGCUGUUGUCUCUCUGCUCAUGGAGUUAUUGACACUGUUAAUAAAUAUCUUACUCCCAGCAA